AUUGUCCGCCCUAACUGUAAUUUACACUAUGCUGUUGUUUCUAAACAGAAUAAAAGAUGCAGAAGGGAACUAUCAAAGGAUUAGAUCUGCUUUAGAAGAAAAGCAACGAGAAAAUGAAGCCUUAGAGAGAAGCAUAAAUGAGAUGAAUCUAAAAGUUCAAAGGACAAG